rnacentral:lncRNA from 10 species
UUUUUCAAUGCAAUGAGAAACAGCUGUGCUUGGGAAUAAAUGACAACGAAUUUUUUUUAUCUCAACAGCUGUCCUGAGAGCAUGUCUCUACAUCUCUACCUGCAUUCUGGAUUCAGGGAGAAAGCCAAAACGGACGACAAGACACUAGAUCAGCCGUGUCCAGCCCUUUGACUACAAGGACUUUUCCACCUAUCUGUGGUGGAAACCCCUUGAGGUUAAGACCCCACAAUCACAUGAGGAUGGAGUGGCUCACCCUCAGUCAACAGGCCAGACUCAAGGGGUUCCUGGCAAGUCAUUUCUCCCUCGGGCCUUCGGUUUCCUCACCUACAAGAUGAGAGGGCUGGACCAGAUGGAAAUUCAGGGGGUAAGGGGAUGUCCUCACGCAGCCCACCCCCACCCCCACGGGACCCUGGAGCCUCCAUCCCAGUUCCCACCACGCACCCGCUCCACAAAUCCUGCCCAAGGUAACUCUUUCCUGAUAAGGCGAAUUGCUUGCUUCCUUGAAUUCUGCUCUCAAAGAUACCCUUCAUUUUCUACCUAAUAUUAAUAACUUUAAUCAUUCAUUAUUCCAUUACUAUGCUCUAUAGUGUAUACAAUUUCUGUUCUUUGUCAUGUUAUUAACUAAAUUAUUUAUUGGGUCCAGUAACGUAUUCCAUAAAUAUUGUACACAUAAAAAUUGUGUUAUUUUUAUUCCUGUAUGCUCAGCUGCCCAAUAACAGUCUGAGGAUUAACAUAUUUGUUAAAUGCUCAAAUACAUUCUUUCACAAAUAUUAGUUUAAUAAUUUUAUAUUAAACUCCCUCUAUACUUACAAUAUGAAUUAGAUAAUUCAGAAUAAACAUUCCAUUGGAAAAAGCUACACAAUUUGUUAUAAAACAUCCUUAAAAGCAUCAGAAAAUUAAUACAGCAAUGAAGAAUUACAGGACCAAAUUAAGAAUGGUAUGAAAGCCUGUUUGUGACGCUUAUGUUUGGGUUAUCUCUUUAUUUGAGUGACUAUAAAUCUCAAAAGAGAACUAAAGGGAGAAAUAACCAUAUCUACUAACAUGCUAAGGGUACUUAAACAUCUCUUAGUAAUUGAGAAAAUUGAAAGAAAAGAAAAAAGAGAAAGGGAGAAAGAGAAACAGCGAAAGGGAUAAUGAAGGCGAGAAAGAAGAAGAGAAAGGAAGAGGAAGAAAAGUAAAAAGGAGGAGGGGGAAGGAAGAAGGAAGAAAGGUGAAAAGAAAGAAUGGUAAACUUUUUAACAACAUAAUUUAUCCUUCUAGAAUAUGAAUGUUGGUCUAUUUGAUGAUGUCCCACAAAUUCAUUAGUCUCUGCUCAUUGUUUAUUUUUUAUUCUUUCUGUUUCUCAGAGACAGUAUUUUCCAUUUUCUUCUCUUCAAGUUCAUGGCUUCCUCUGUGUGUGCAAAUAUACUCUUAAAUCCCUCUGGUGAUUUUUAAAUUUUUAUCAUUGUAGUUUUCCACUCCAGAAUUUGUUAUCUCUUUGCUGAUAUUCCUACUUUUUAAUAUUUUUUCUGAUUCCUUUAUUUCUUUGUUUAUGUUUUCCUUUUGACAUUUGAGUAUAAUGAAGAGAGUUGUUUUAAAGUCUUUGUCUGGUAAGUUUGAUGUCUGGGUUUCCUUAGGGAUAUUUUCUGUCACUUUAUUUUGUUCCUUUGAAUGAGCCACACUUUCCCAUUCUUUGUAUGCCUUGUAACGUUUUUUGAAAACUGGACAUUCUAAUAAUUAUAAUUACUAUGUGGUUACUCUGUAAAUCAGACCUCCCCCUACAAACACAGUAAUGUUUUGUGGUUUUAAAUUUUCUUUACUUAUUAUAUUGUUAAGGAUUUUUUUUUUUAGUGAAAUUUUCCAAAGUGAUUUACAAAACUGUUUGGUUUAUAAGGUGUGGUCACCGAAGUCUUUUUGUUUCCUUAACAAAUGUUAAGCUAAUGUUUUGACAGUGAUUUUCUGGUAUGUCAGGAACCAAUCAAACAGGCAUAUACAAGAAAAACAAAAAGAAAAGCAAGUAAUCAUUGUCCAGCAAAAUAUGUCUGUAGGCCAUGCAGACUGGCUUUGUGCUGGGUUCUUUAAAGCCGGCACAAAGUGUGUGUUCACUCUUGCACUGAGUGAAGUUCAAGUUCACUCUUGCACAGAGCUUGCACUGAGGGGAGGGAUCGGCCAAGGUAAAAGUGUAGGGUCUUCUUAUGACAUUUGUCAGCAUGUGGCUUAACCUAUGAAUACGUGUGACUUUGUAGACUCUCCCAUGUACGUGAAUGAGGCGUGAGCCACCACGCCCAGCAGAUUUAUUUAUUUUUUAAUCUUUCUUUUUUUUUUUUUAGGCAGAGUCUUACUCUGUCACCCAGGCUGGAGUGCAGUGACACGACCUUGGCUCACUACAACCUAUGCCUCCCCAGUUCAAGUAAUCCUCCCACCUUAGCCUCCUGAGUAGCUGGGAUUACAGGCGCCUGCCACCACACCCAGCUAAUUUUUGUGUUUUUAGUAGAGACAGGGUUUCACCACAUUGUCCAGGCUGGUCUUGAACUCCUGGCCUCAAGAGACCCACCCGCCUCAGGCUCCCACAGCGCUGGGAUUACAGGCAUGAGCCGCCAUAUCUGGCCUAUUUAUUUUUUAAUUUUUCAAAUGAGAAGGUUGGGUUAGGUAAUUUUUAAAAAUCGCUUCAAGUUUCUUAACUCCACAAUUAUUUUCCUGAGACUCUUGCAAGCAACUGAUCUUUAUAGGUCAUGCCUCAAAUUCCCAAUUGAUGUCAUCUGGGCAAAUCAGUCCAAUGACAGCCACAAGUGGUCAGAAAGCUUUCUUAGCAGCCCUCUUGGUCACUAGGCACACUACCUAGGAGUCAAGCUGUGACAAGAGGCUGCUUCUUAAACUUACAAAAGAUAGGAUCUUCCAGGAUGUGCUGCUCUGAUGUUUUUGAAGGGCAUAGAGAAACACACGGGCAAUGUUUGCAGAGGCAACAGACUAAAGAAAGCACAUCUAUAGUUGUAUUGGCUUUGUGUGGGUUGUAUGGUAAACAGGUAGUCACCCUGCUUAAUGUGGGUAUCCCAUUUUCCAUAAAUGUCUAUUUCACCACCCCAAAAAGCCCUCUUAUCAUGAAAUUAAUCAUCUGAUGCACUUCAAGUACCAGUCACAAAAAUGAUGAACUCAGGCAGAAUUCCACUGCUAGACAAGCCCAGACAAAAACUGUUACUGUUAGCCAAGGAAAUUUGCACACAAUUUUGAUAAGUGGCACUAAAGCCACAUAAGACAGGAAAUGGGUUAGAGGACAUCAAUGUAUUGAGACAGAAAGUGAAAGGGUGGGCAGGAUUUGCGAGGUUACCAGUUUGAAUAUGGCCAUUCCUGCUUUUACUAAAGGUCAAUUUAGAAUACAAAUGUUACAGAAUUCAUUUAGAGCCAAAAAGUAAUUCUGACAAAGACUGUCUUAAAAUGCAAGAUUUUUAGGUCCAAAAUUUCUUACGUAACCUAAAAAAUGGAAAUCUUCACAAUGUAAUGAGAUUGGGUCAUUUAAAUAGUGUUAUAUCUAACCAGUCCAGACAGACCAGCUAAACAAUCCUAUUAUUAAAAGCCUCUAGAGAGUGUUCAACAAACUCCUUAGAUAAUGAAGCUUGGGGCAGCAACACAUCCCUCAUUAUAGUCAGAAAGUUCUCUUAACAUGUGAGCCAGGUUAUUGCGUGCAUUUAUGUUUUCCCACAUGCUGCUCUUUCCUCAAGGAAUGCGAUUCUCCUCCCCGACUCCCUGCCUGGUUCGCUCAUUCUUCAAGAUCAAACACAAAAGUCACUGUGUGUGUGAUGCUUCUCCAAUUCCACUCAUCCUGGCUGCCAUUCAUGCACUAGUGCAUGUAUGCAUUUUUACAUUUUUUAAAUUACAAAAAUCAACCUAUUAUAACUGCUUAGAUAUAUAUGAAGUAAAAAUGAAAGUUCUCCCUUUACAUGACCCAUCCCCCAUCAUUUCCCUCUUUAUCUUAUACUGUCAGCAUUCCCAGCUUGUAGCACAGUGUCUGGCAAUAGUAAAUCCUCAAAAAAUGAUCAAUGAAUAAUUUAAUAAUGAUUAAUAAAUAAAUUAAUGAUGAUGGUGAAGAUAAAUUUUUAGCAUUUAUUGAACGCUAACUACAAACCAGGGAGUGUGUUAAAUAUUUUAUAAAAAUCAAUGAAUGAGCUAAAAUGCCAUUCUGUUAUUUUUUUGUAUAGGUUUUAAUAUUUUACUCAUAAAUAUGCUUAAAGAAUAUUAUAAUUAUAUGACUUAGAUUGUAAAACAAUAUGUACAGCAGUGUCCUAUUUUUUAGAAUAAA